GCGGGUAUGGCGGAAUUGGCAGACGCGCCAGACUUAGGAUCUGGUACCCCCGGUGUGCAGGUUCGACCCCUGUUACCCGCACCA
rnacentral:tRNA from 1 species